rnacentral:rRNA from 1 species
CAGUAGCCGCGGUAAUACGAAGGGUGCAAGCGUUAAUCGGAAUUACUGGGCGUAAAGCGUGCGUAGGCGGUGAGUUAAGUCUGCUGUGAAAUCCCCGGGCUCAACCUGGGAAUUGCAGUGGAUACUGGGUCACUAGAGUGUGGUAGAGGAUAGUGGAAUUUCCGGUGUAGCAGUGAAAUGCGUAGAGAUCGGAAGGAACAUCUGUGGCGAAGGCGACUAUCUGGGCCAACACUGACACUGAGGCACGAAAGCGUGGGGAGCAAACAGGAUUAGAUACCCCUGUAGUCCCUGUCUCUUAUAC